AUCCGUCUGACGAGUCUCAAAUAGGACGAAGUGUACGUUCUAGAU
rnacentral:hammerhead_ribozyme from 1 species